rnacentral:tRNA from 1 species
AAGGAGAAUUACCUACUGUUUAAUUUUGAAAGUUUUUUACGAACUUUAUAUAUGGGGGUGUAGCUCAGUUGGGAGAGCACUUGCCUUGCAAGCAAGGGGUCAGGAGUUCGACUCUCCUCAUCUCCACCAUUUAAGAGUAUAUUACUUAAAUCUUUGAUUUACUUAGUAGCCUCUUACAAUGCACUUAUAGCUUAAAUUUAUACAGGCUUUGUGCGUUAGCACUUUAAGCAACAGAAUAAACUGAACACAUGUGAAGUUUGUUUGUUGGCGCUGUGCGUUAGCACUUUGAAAACUGCAUAUAUAUUUAGUGAUAUGACAUCUAAUUUGUAAUAUAUAAAGCUGAUAACUUUUUAAAAUUAUCGAAGUUGAUAGCUUCUAAUCUAUCAAACCUUUUUAAC